rnacentral:rRNA from 1 species
AGUGAACGCUGGCGGUAGGCCUAACACAUGCAAGUCGAACGGCAGCACAGUAAGAGCUUGCUCUUACGGGUGGCGAGUGGCGGACGGGUGAGGAAUACAUCGGAAUCUACUUUUUCGUGGGGGAUAACGUAGGGAAACUUACGCUAAUACCGCAUACGACCUACGGGUGAAAGCAGGGGAUCUUCGGACCUUGCGCGAUUGACUGAGCCGAUGUCGGAUUAGCUAGUUGGCGGGGUAAAGGCCCACCAAGGCGACGAUCCGUAGCUGGUCUGAGAGGAUGAUCAGCCACACUGGAACUGAGACACGGUCCAGACUCCUACGGGAGGCAGCAGUGGGGAAUAUUGGACAAUGGGCGCAAGCCUGAUCCAGCCAUACCGCGUGGGUGAAGAAGGCCUUCGGGUUGUAAAGCCCUUUUGUUGGGAAAGAAAAGCAGCAGGUUAAUACCCCGCUGUUCUGACAGUACCCAAAGAAUAAGCACCGGCUAACUUCGUG